rnacentral:lncRNA from 9 species
CCCCGGCCGGGUGCCGGAGCCCUGUGGCGUGCGAGGCCGGUGCGGACGCCUUGAACUACCUGUCAUUUACUCCAGUGUCCAUAGUGAUGCUACAGGACAGAGUGGAAUGGAUAAAAACAUUGGCGAGCAACUCAAUAAAGCUUAUGAAGCCUUUCGGCAGGCAUGCAUGGAUAGAGAUUCUGCAGUAAAAGAACUACAGCAAAAGACUGAGAACUAUGAGCAGAGAAUACGUGAGCAACAAGAACAGCUGUCACUUCAACAAACUAUUAUUGACAAGCUAAAAUCACAGUUACUUCUUGUGAAUUCUAGUCGAGAUAACAGUUAUGGUUGUGUUCCCCUGUUUGAAGACAGUGAAGCAAGGAAGAAUAAUUUGACUCUUGAUCAGCCACAUGAUAAAGUAAAAUCAGGAAUACCAAGAGAAAAGAAUCAAAGGGGUUAUGUAGAGAAGACUUUCUGGGAUCUGAAAGAAGAAUUUCAUAGAAUACGCAUGCUAGCAAAAGCACAAAAAGACCACUUAAGCAAACUUAAUGUAGCAGACACUGCAGCUGAGACACAGUGCUCUGUGCCUGUACAGUGUACGGAUAAAACAGAUAAACAAGAAGUGCUGUUUAAGCCUCAGGCUAAAGAUGAUAUAAAUAGAGGUGCACCGUGCGUCACAUCUGUCACACCAAGAGGAUUGGGCCAAGAUGAGGAAGAUACCUCUUUUGAAUCACUUUCUAAAUUCAAUGUCAAGUUUCCACCUACAGACAGUGACUCUGCUUUCUUACACAGCACUCCAGAAAGACCCACUGUCCUUGGUCCUGCCACAUCUGAGGCUGUAUGCCAGGAUAAAUUUAAUAUGGAGCCCAGAGACAACCCGGGAAACUUUGUUAAAACAGAAAUUGAGGGGAUUGACUCCAUAGCUUCAGCUAUACAAAACCUUAAAACAACUGACAAAACAAAACCCUCAAAUCAUGUAAAUACUUGUAUCAGGACAGCUCCGGAUAGAGCUUUGUGUUUGUCACCUGGAGACCAUAAUGCAUUAUAUGUAAAUACAUUCCCACUUCAGGACCGGUCUGAUGCACCUUUUCCUUCACUCAAUUCCCCAGGAGAAGCUAUCCGAGGACCAGAGCAGCCCGUUUGGAAGCCCUUUCCUAAUCAAGACAGUGACUUAUCGGUACUAAGUGGCACAGGCUCAGAACUGCAUAUACCUCGAGUAUGUGAAUUCUGUCAAGCAGUUUUCCCACCAUCCAUUACAUCCAGGGGGGAUUUCCUCCGGCAUCUUAAUUCACACUUUAUUGUGGAGACUUAAGACGCAUUGGAAAACAGACAUAUCAAGUUCUGUGUGGUAAUUUGGGGUCUGUAAUACUAUAUACUUGAUUGCAAACUUAGCUCAAGAUCAUUUAUUGAAAAAUCCAGUGUCACAGUAUUUGGCUUUUUUCAUAAACUUAUAGUGUAACUUUCUUAUCACCUUUUAAAAGAUCAUUCUGUACAAAAACUGUAGUUCGUUGUCUUCAUGUUUACAGUGUUUAUUACCAUAAUUCCAAAUUAUAUGUGACUUACAGAAUUGCAUAAUAAUUUAUGUCUUUUUCAAAUAUCUAAGCUCAUUGCUUGGAUUUCUGGCUAGAUCUAUUGAAUUUGGUGAUGUCAAAUGUUUAUGGGUUUUCAUUUGUUUUCAUUUUAAAAUUUAGAUUAUUUAUGCUAUAGGUGUCCUUUUUGAAUAAACCCAUGAUUGUAGGGAAGAUAAACAUCUGAGUAAAUAUCAAACCCAAGACAUUUGUUGCUCAGUGAUAAAAGCACCGGUAGGAUUAUUUAAACACUUGAGUGCCUGGUUUUUUUUUAAUAAUAGACAUUGUUUUAAUUUUUACUAUUUGUAUAGCUACAUGAUGAAAUUAGUUAAAUAUUUAAAAAGUUACUUAUGUUGUGAUCAUUAAUGUGUUCUUUGUUCUUGGAUAAAAUAAAUCACAUUUUUGGGAAA